CUACGGGCUGCUGCAGUGGGGAAUAUUGCACAAUGGAGGAAACUCUGAUGCAGCAACGCCGCGUGGAGGAUGACACAUUUCGGUGCGUAAACUCCUUUUAUGUGAGAAGAUAAUGACGGUAUCACAUGAAUAAGCACCGGCUAACUCCGUGCCAGCAGCCGCGGUAAUACGGAGGGUGCAAGCGUUACUCGGAAUCACUGGGCGUAAAGCGCGCGCAGGCGGCUUUUCAAGUUGGAUGUGAAAUCCUAUGGCUUAACCAUAGAACUGCAUCCAAAACUGUUAGGCUAGAGUCUGGGAGGGGACGAUGGAAUUAGUUGUGUAGGGGUAAAAUCCGUAGAGAUAACUAGGAAUACCAAAAGCGAAGGCGAUCUUCUGGAACAGUACUGACGCUGAGGCGCGAAAGCGUGGGGAGCAAACAGGAUUAGAUACCCCUGUAGUC
rnacentral:rRNA from 1 species